CAUCUGAAUCCCAUCUGAUCAUUAAAUACAAAAAAUGAGAUUUCAGUUUUAGAAAUCCAACCUACUAAAAUUAACAAAAAUCUCAAGACAUUUAUAAGAAAUACUCCUUUCGUCCCGCCGAGUUUGAGGCGUUUCUUUUGGAUACGAGAAUUAAGAAAUUGUUUAUUAGUGGUUUAAGUGUGUGGUAUAAAGGUAAUAAGAUGUGCAAUUAGUUUUAUAAAUUAGUGCUUUAAAUUGCCUAUUUUUUGUCAGAAAAAGAAAUGACUCAAACUCAACGGGACAGCUCGAAAAAGAAUACGAUUCAAGCUCGAUGGGAUGGAGGGAGUACCAGUUUAAUUUCAAGCAGUAAAACGUACCUGAAAGAUAGCGACUGCAAAAUUAAUCACCUUCUCUCUCCCCAUCGCUCCCUUUCCUCCCUCUCUCUCCAAAAUUAAUCACCUUCUUCGUCGGCCGAAGAAGGGAGGGCGGCAUCGAUUCUGGCUGCGAGGAGAAGAGAGGCCGAGAGGUGAGGGAGUGACACUGUGAAGAUUAGAGAGUGAGAGAAGGAGAGUGAUGGAGAGAAAAGAGAAGGGGAGAAAUUGGUUGGAGAUGGGCGUGGGUCGGCGGGUCGGGGCGCGGGUCAAUGGGCGGAUCGAUCCGUCUAAAUAUAUGCAUUUGGUCUGAUACACGAAUUUGUAAUUAUCUCCACUUUUCUCUAAUCAGAUUUCGACUGAAUAUUCACGUGAGAAGUACCUAUCGUCAACACCAACCACUACAAAAAGAAAGACUUCCAUAGAUUUGAUUGAGACAUAAUUUAAAGAUAUACUCACGUAUCUCCA
rnacentral:lncRNA from 1 species